rfam:Gossypium arboreum cultivar AKA8401 contig_4459_7, whole genome shotgun sequence.
GGGCUUGUAGCUUAGAGGAUUAGAGCAUGUAGCUACAAAUUACAGUGUCAGGGGUUUGAAUCCUACCUCGCCCA